rnacentral:misc_RNA from 1 species
AAAAAAAAAAAAAAAAAAAAAUCUCAACUAAUGAUGAAAGGCCAUGUGUUUCUCAAAUGUUCAUUGACCAUCUCAAAAUUCCCAUGGGACACUUCCUAAAAAAGAAGUUUGUUUGCUUAUCUUGGAGGUGGCGGAGGAGAAGCAGGCAUUUGAGAUUUCGCAAAUCCAACCCACGCAACAAUGCCAACAGCUAGAAUUAUCCAUCCAAAUAUGUCAUACUUGAGGUCACUGCUUUUCUUAUUCUUUGAACUCUGGAAAAGGGACAAAGCAACCAAGUUAUAGAUGCAUCAACAGGAAAGGGCUAUUGAGUGUUACAAGAAUAGCAAGAUGGCCAUCAAACACGACCAAUAGGCACAUUAAACGUGUGCUCCCUCCCUUACCAAGCAUGCCUGUAAUGCAUGUUCCAUUUCAGGAAGAAAUGCAGUGAAUAGAUUAAUGGUACUGUUACCAAAACAAGGAAAAGGAAUGUGAAUUGAACCACUAGAGUGCGACAUGCAACACCCAAUAUUUUAAACCUUGUUUCCACAACCCAAAUUAGUACAAAAUAACAGUGUAAUCAACAAUUCAAUAAUGAAGAAAGGCUUCCAGAGAUGGCAAAUAGUCUUGAAGACAAAAAUUAAAAAGCUACCUUAGCACUUGAUGAAGUAGAAGGUCCAGAAGCAGGUGCAGCCCCCAUCACCUGUUGAGCUAAACCAUGCUUAUGAAUCUCCAUGUGUAGUUCUGGAGCCUAAACAUAUGAACAAAUUCAAUAUAAUGAUCAACAUGCACAAAAUCAGAGUCUGAAAAGCAAGAUACUCGCUCCAAAGAAAAACUGAUAAUCUUAAAGAUAAUAGUUUGACCACUUACAAGAAAAUGGACUAUGCCUAACUCUCAAAAGCUAGCACAAGUGAGUAGGAUUACCCAAGUCUUUCCAAGGGACAAAUUAUCCACAUACCUAACCGAUGUGGGAUACUUAACACACCUCAUACUCAGGGCUAACACUGAGGCUUGAAACACUUUUGGAAGGCCCAAACAACGAUUAGAAACCAUCAUAAGAAGAUGGACAAGGCCUAAGUCUCUCCUACAAGCUAGUUCAAGGGGGGGAGGAUUGCUAAGUUUUUAUAAGGGGUACAUCACCCACAUGCCUAACCGAUAUAGGAUACUUAACAACUACCAAUCAGAAAAGGGAUCAUCAGUAUUGGCCAUAACUCACAUUUCUCAAGAAAUUAUUGCUCAUUAAAUCCCUAGAUAAGGUAGACCUAUUUGGAACAUAGACAAGUCCACCAAAAAUGGUCAAAAGCUUAUUAGCAAUUGCUCAAGUGUCUCUACAUCUUCUUCAUAUCUAUCUCUCAACAAGUCUACCAACAAACAUUGUGCACAUAAUGCAGCAGAAAGAUCAACAUGUAUAGGAUUAUAAGAGCUCAAAAGACGAGUGAAACAUAUGCUUUGUUCAAAGGACAAAUCAGUAUCCAAAGAAGACCAACUUUCACUCCCAUCAUAACAACCAACCAGGGUUAUAAACUGCAGCUGCAUUGAGGACAUUUCAGGGUGUCAUUGCCUAAGGGUUCAUUAGGCAUUGUUAUUUGAGUUAUUGUUCAAAAAAGCAGCACCUUGAAAAUAUUAAUUAAUAAUUACAUGCCAUUAAAGUUUGUUCUUGAGUGAAACUUAAUAUGUUUUAGUAAUAAAAGCUUCAAACUAGCUAAAUAACAAUUUCAAACCACUUUUUCCAGCAGCUUCUGCUGCUCCAAAACACAAUGCCAAAUUG